rnacentral:rRNA from 1 species
UACAGAGGUCCCAAGCGUUGUUCGGAUUCAUUGGGCGUAAAGGGUGCGUAGGUGGCGUCGUAAGUCGGGUGUGAAAUUUCGGAGCUCAACUCCGAAACUGCAUUCGAUACUGCGGUGCUUGAGGACUGGAGAGGAGACUGGAAUUUACGGUGUAGCAGUGAAAUGCGUAGAGAUCGUAAGGAAGACCAGUGGCGAAGGCGGGUCUCUGGAGAGUUCCUGACGCUGAGGCACGAAGGCCAGGGGAGCAAACGGG